GACAACGUGAGAAGGUAUGGAUUGUAUGCACUAACUGUUAGUACAGGUGCUAUUUAUACAAUCAUGGUGCCUAUAUUUGAGCUUCUCAAGAAUCCAAUAACUGCGAUUCUUAUUGUGGCUAUUUUUGGUGGUGGGUUUUACGUUGUUUCUCAGUUUCUUUCUGCUAUGGUUGGUAUUUCGGAUUUUAGUUAUGAUUAUGGAAACUAGACAUAUAGAUUCAUAUGUAGAUAGAUGAAAAAUCAAUUAUUAAUUAAGUUUAUGGAGGCUUGGUAUGUAUUAUGUAGUAUAAUUUUGCAUGCUGCAAGGUGAUUUUGAUUAUCUGCUUUCUGCUAUCAAUUAUGUUGUGAUAUGGUUGCAUUGGUUUAAAGGUAUAUUUGGUUGUUACAAACAU
rnacentral:lncRNA from 1 species